rnacentral:rRNA from 1 species
UACGUAGGGUGCGAGCGUUAAUCGGAAUUACUGGGCGUAAAGCGUGCGCAGGCGGUUCGUUAAGUUCGUUGUGAAAGCCCCGGGCUCAACCUGGGAACUGCAAUGGAAACUGGCGGGCUUGAAUGCGGCAGAGGGGGGUGGAAUUCCGCGUGUAGCAGUGAAAUGCGUAGAUAUCUGGAGGAAUACCGGUGGCGAAGGCGGCAUCCUGGACCAUUACUGACGCUGAGGCGCGAAAGCUAGGGGAGCAAACGGG